AGAACUGAUGUGAUGGAUGUGAGGGCUGAUGUCAUGCGAUGGAGGAAUCUGUACAAAACCUCUUUUUUAUUUAUUAAUUUUUAUGCUCAACAGAAAAGCUGAAGAAGAUGAAAGGAUAAUAUUUGAUGAAGAAAAAACAACAAGAAAGGAAGAAAUUCCAUACAACAUGCGCUGCAAACAAAAGGCUCCAUCUUAUCAAGAAGCCAUCAGUCGACCUGAUUCCGAGUGCAGGCUGCUCUUCACACACGUGUCUGGGAGGAAAGCCGAGCUCUGCAUGGUCCUGCCGCUAGCCUCAUUUCACUCCUCUCUCGGAGGAACCUGUGCGCUGUUCACAGGUAGCACAACCGAAAACAGGAUUUCUCACAUCACUGGCUGCACAGCAUAAACCUACAGUGUUAAAAGAACCACGGUGUUCCUCAGCAGAAGUGGAAGGAUGACGACGAUAACCACCACCACCACCACCAUCAUCAUCAUCAUCAUGGCCUUUCAGGAUAUACAAGGGCAAGUCGUGAAGGCUGUCCGCACAAACAGGAUUUAUAUUCGCCUAUUGGUGUUUUUUCACUGACAAACAAUAAUACCACAGCCUUCAAAGCCUUACCAAAUUCUGGUGAUAACUGACUCGAGAAGCAUUAAUAAAAUUAAAGCAUCAUUAUAGCAUUAUAACCAAACUUAUUAUCCUGUAAAAACAGGAUAUCUUGGCACACGCCAACAAUAGACGGACAGCGUUAGGCUAUAUUUACAGACACAAGCCUACACCACCCCUGGAUGUAAUCACACAGCAUGCUGUGAAGUGUGUGGAAUAAAGCAGCCUGUAGCUCUAACCUGC